GGGGAAUAUUGGACAAUGGGCGAAAGCCUGAUCCAGCAACGCCGCGUGAGGGAUGACGGCCUUCGGGUUGUAAACCUCUUUCAGCGCAGACGAAGCGAAAGUGACGGUAUGCGCAGAAGAAGCACCGGCCAACUACAUGCCAGCAGCCGCGGUAAUACGUAGGGUGCGAGCGUUGUCCGGAAUUAUUGGGCGUAAAGGGCUCGUAGGCGGUUUGUCGCGUCGGGAGUGAAAACACUGGGCUUAACUCAGUGCUUGCUUCCGAUACGGGCAGACUAGAGGUAUGCAGGGGAGAACGGAAUUCCUGGUGUAGCGGUGAAAUGCGCAGAUAUCAGGAGGAACACCGGUGGCGAAGGCGGUUCUCUGGGCAUUACCUGACGCUGAGGAGCGAAAGUGUGGGGAGCGAA
rnacentral:rRNA from 1 species